rnacentral:rRNA from 1 species
AGAGUUUGAUCCUGGCUCAGAACAAACGCUGGCGGCGUGUCUUAAGCAUGCAAGUUGAGCGGCAAGGAGGAGAGAUCCUCCCUAGAGCGGCGGACUGGUGAGUAACGCGUGGGUAAUCUAUCUUAGGCAUGGGGAUAGUCACUAGAAAUAGUGGGUAAUACCGAAUAAGUUCCAUAAGGGGAGGACUUAUGGAAGAAAGGUGCUACGGCACUGGCCUUAGGUGAGCUCGCGUCCCAUUAGCUAGUUGGUGAGGUAAAGGCCCACCAAGGCGAUGAUGGGUAGCCGGCCUGAGAGGGUGUACGGCCACACUGGGACUGAGAUACGGCCCAGACUCCUACGGGAGGCAGCAGCUAAGAAUAUUCCGCAAUGGACGGAAGUCUGACGGAGCGACGCCGCGUGGAUGAAGAAGGCCGAAAGGUUGUAAAGUUCUUUUGCUAGGGGAGAAUAAGUGUGGGAGGGAAUGCCUGCACGAUGACAAGGACUAGCGAAUAAGUCCCGGCCAACUACGUGCCAGCAGCCGCGGUAACACGUAGGGGGCGAGCGUUGUUCGGAAUUACUGGGCGUAAAGGGCAUGUAGGCGGCUUGGUAAGCCUGGCGUGAAAGUCUGCAGCUUAACUGUAGGGAUGCGUUGGGAACUGCUUAGCUUGAGUUACGGAGAGGGAGCUGGAAUUCCUGGUGUAGGGGUAAAAUCUGUAGAUAUCAGGAAGAACACCGAUGGCGAAGGCAAGCUUCUGGCCGACAACUGACGCUGAGGUGCGAAAGUGUGGGGAUCAAACAGGAUUAGAUACCCUGGUAGUCCACACAGUAAACG